UACGGAGGGUGCAAGCGUUAUCCGGAUUUACUGGGUUUAAAGGGUGCGUAGGUGGGUCUGUAAGUCAGUGGUGAAAUCUCCGAGCUUAACUCCAGAACUGCCCUUGAUACUGGCGGUCUCGAGUCCGGGAGAGGUGAGUGGAACUGCGAGUGUAGAGGUGAAAUUCGUAGAUAUUCGCAAGAACACCAGUGGCGAAGGCGGCUCACUGGCCCGAUACUGACGCUGAGGCACGAAAGCGUGGGGAGCAAACAGGG
rnacentral:rRNA from 1 species